rnacentral:rRNA from 1 species
AUGGCAGCAGAAAUCGUGAGCGCGACGAUGGGUGUGAUUAACCCCCUCAUCGGCAAGCUCACUGAGCUACUUGGUGAGGAGUACAGAAAGCUCACGGGGGUGAGAAGGCAGGCCAUGUUUCUCAAGGAUGAGCUCAGCAGCAUGAAAGCUCUCCUUGACAAGCUAGAGCUUGUAGAUAAGCUUGAUCCUCAGGCUAAGGAGUGGCGGGAUCAUGUCAGGGAGAUGUCCUAUGACAUGGAGAAUUGCAUCGACGACUUCAUGCAUGAUCUUGAAGGCGCUGAUGGCAAGAAAGGCUUUGUCAGGAAGAUGGCCCAGCGUCUUAGGAGGCUGGGGAGGCGUCAUCAGAUUGCCAACCAGAUCGAGGAGCUCAAGAUUCGUGCAGUCGAGGAAAAUGCCCGACGCGAGAGGUACAAGAUUGAUGAUUCCAUACAUUCAAGUUCAACUGUUGUUGCUGUAGAUCCCCGGGUGUCGGCAAUCUAUGAGGAGGCAGCAAACCUCGUAGGCAUUGAUGGCCCAAGAGAAGAGCUUGUCAGCUGGUUGACUAAUAGCGAUAGAAAGCUUAAAGUGGUGUCCAUUGUGGGCUUUGGUGGCUUGGGUAAAACUACACUUGCCAAACAAGUGUAUGAAAAGAUUGGAGGGCAAUUUGAGUGCAAGGCAUUUAUUUCAGUCUCACAGAGGCCUGACAUGGCAAGUCUUCUCAACGGUCUACGAUCCAACCUUGGACUUGGACUAGGGGAGGACUCUCGUGCUCACGAGGUGCCAUACAUCAUAGACCGUCUCAGAGAAUAUCUCACACAUAAGAGGUACCUUAUUGUAGUUGAUGACUUGUGGGAUCAAUCUGCAUGGAAUAUUCUCCGAUGUGUCUUUGCAGAAGGUGGUAAUGGUAAUACAGUAAUUGUAACCACAAGAGUGGAUGAUGUCGCUUGUAGGGCAUCUCAUGAGCACCAUGGACACAUUUAUAGAAUGAAGCCUCUCAACGAUGAAGACUCAAAAAGGUUAUUCUUUGGUAGAGUGUUCAGAUCGGAAGAUAGUUGUGCACCCCAAUAUGAAGAAGUUUCAACCCAAAUUUUGAAGAAGUGUGGUGGAUUGCCACUUGCAAUUAUAACUAUAGCUAGCUUAUUGGCUAGUCGUCAAGCAAAAUCAAGGAGUGAUUGGGAGAGCAUAAUGAAGUCUCUGGGCACCAAUUCUGCUGCAGAUCCUACCCUUGAAGGGAUGAAGAAUAUAUUAAACCUUAGCUACAUGCAUCUACCUCCUCGUCUCCGGGCAUGUUUCCUUUAUCUUGGUUUGUAUCCAGAGGACCGUGAUAUUGAGAGGGAUGAUUUGGCUCGACAGUGGGUAGCCGAAGGCUUUGUCAGUAGUGUUCCCGAGCUAGAUUUGGAAGACGUUGCUAAGAGUUAUUUCAAUGAGCUUAUCAAUAGAAGUAUGAUUCAGCCUAUGACAUGA